rnacentral:snRNA from 1 species
AUACUUACCUGGCAGGGGAGAUACCAUGAUCACGAAGGUGGUUUUCCCAGGGCGAGGCUUAUCCAUUGCACUCCGGAUGUGCUGACCCCUGCGAUUUCCCCAAAUGUGGGAAACUCGACUGCAUAAUUUGUGGUAGUAAUAAAUAAAUAAUGAUUAUUUUAAAA